UACGAAGGGGGCUAGCGUUGCUCGGAAUCACUGGGCGUAAAGCGCACGUAGGCGGAUCGUUAAGUCAGGGGUGAAAUCCUGGAGCUCAACUCCAGAACUGCCUUUGAUACUGGCGAUCUUGAGUUCGGGAGAGGUGAGUGGAACUGCGAGUGUAGAGGUGAAAUUCGUAGAUAUUCGCAAGAACACCAGUGGCGAAGGCGGCUCACUGGCCCGGAUACUGACGCUGAGGUGCGAAAAGCGUGGGGAGCAAACAGG
rnacentral:rRNA from 1 species